rnacentral:lncRNA from 1 species
AAAAGCGACUGAGUCCUUGAGUCUCCUGGGAUGUUCAUAUGAAUCCCCUUGAAGCUUUAAUUUGAUAAGACCUCAGUGGAGACUGCUGAACCCCUGGGAUUUAACAUCAUAUAUUAUUCAUUGUUGCUGUUGCCACAGACGUGCUGAUUUUGCCCCUGCUGAGCAAGGCACUUCUGCACAUGGGAACUUGAUGGCUAACCACACUGCAUGUUCUUCAGGCAGGGCCUAUCCCAGAACGUUCCAAGCUGUCUGCUAGCAAGUCUGCAUUAACUCCCUCAAUGCUGCAUGCACGGUGUCCCUGAGUCCUUCACCACCCGCCCCGCCACCAGAGCCAGUCUUUUUAAGAAUUUUGCCUGGGCUGUGUUUUUCAAAGUGCCUCUCUCUAGUGUGCAUCUCUUCUUAAUCACAGAAAGCAGAUCUGAGAGCUUCUAAUGCACUUCUCUAUUACUUCAAGAACACUGUGUAUAAUAAUAAACUCUACAGAAAUAAACCAAAUCACAAGAAGCUUUCAGGUCUGGAGGCUGACAUUUCUCAAGACAGAUGCAAAAACCCAGGCCCAGAGAGAUGAAGAAACCUGGCUAAGCUCCUUGAAGCUAGAAAUGGCCUACCUGUAGAAUCUGUCUUCACUUCAAAGUCAGUGGAGUGCACAGUUUUAUUGUCGUGUUGAACUGAACAUGUCACUGAAUUUGAAUCUUCAUAUUUACCAAGCUUGACAGCAUUGUACUUCCCACUGGGAGAGAUGACAAUAGCAGGAUCAAACUCUGUUAUCUUCUUGGAUGACACGAGAUUUAUUCUUAUAUCCUUGGGGUAGAAUUCCUUCACCAGACAAGCGACAUUUGUUCCAUUUUUCAUGACAAAAACGGAUGGUUUGGUAUGAGGCUGACUUCCUGCAAAUAUAAUCAACUUAUUAGAAUCGAGGGUCUGAGAAGGACUGCAUAACUGGCUCAGAGGUUCUGAGGAUGGCAGUGUUGGGGUCCCGGAAGGGUGCCAUCCCUUCCAGAUCUGCUGGAAAGGGUGGAAAGGGAUCUGCUGAAGGUAGGUGGUACAUGUUUCUGCCUUUAGGUGAAUACUCAUUCUUCUGUAGGGGACUGACUACUGUAUAGUUUCCUUUGAGUCUUUAAUCAGAGGAUAACAAUGAUCAUUUUCAGGAAGUCCUUAAAGAAAUAAAACCAAUUGAAGCCCGUUCAUUCUUGUUUUAAUCUAAGAGGAACUGUGGAAUGUUGGUCCCAGGAUUGGCUUCCCUCCUGGCCUUCUCUUCUUUUGUGCCUCACUUUGGACUACCACCCUGUACAUGCAUACUUUUCUUUCCUUAAGACCACAAGUCUUGAAGCUUUGAGAGAGGUAGUGAUGAUUCUUUCACACAGUGCCUCACUGAAGUUUUUGAAUUGUGAUAAAUGUUGUGUCCAUGGGGACUUAAAUUCUUAGGCUAUCUUCAAAUAACUGUUAAAGAAAGAGCCCUGUUAAUACCUGAAACCAAGAAACACAACCAACCUGUGAAUGAUGAUCAAGAUACAUUUUUCAAUCCUAAAUUUAAUGCUGACUUUUAAUAUUAAUUGCUCCUGUAAAUUUGGCCCUUAGUAUUUGAAACUUAGGUGAAUUUUGCUUCUUGAUAUCAAAUGAAAAAUACAUUGAAUUCC